rnacentral:lncRNA from 10 species
CUUCGGCUGCCACAGCGCGUAGAGAAAGACCAUAGACUCUCCAGUGAGGAUGUGUGUUCAGAGGUAGCCUCUCCCGCCUCGCGCUUUGGGCACCCGCAGUUUUUCAGCUGCCUCCUGGAGUUUACAGCAGCAAGCUGCUUUUUUCAAAGGGUCUGUGAAUUCUUUUGGUUUUCAUGGUAUGUUUCUCCAGUGGUUCUUGGAGCAAAAGUUCACAAUGUGAGUCUCCACAUGCUAUUCUGUCCAUCUAAGUGGGAGAUGCAAGUUAGGCCUGCCUCCUAUUUGCCAUUAUCCCCUGCCUAGAGGUCAAUUAUCAUAUUGAUCUAGAAUGGCUGGGAUCCUGGCCAAACCCCACCCUUAAGCCUGGAACCAUCGCCCUAAAUGAAAACAGCUGACCCUGUUUUUCCACCCAAAUGUUGCUUUUUUGGCCUGCCACGCCCCUUUCCUGUGUUCACAAAAAUAUUUCAGCUGGCAGAGUUAUACAAUCUGCUGAGCGUCAGGAACACAAGCUGCUGAGCAUCGGGGAUACAAGUGGCUGAGCGUCAAGCACAGAAGCAGCAACUGAACAUCAGAGACUAAGGAUAGACAUGGCUAACUUCAGAUGGUGUGGCUUCAGGGAAACAUCACCUUCUUCCUGCACUACCUCCUUUCCAAUUCCCCAUCCCACUGAGAGCCACGCUUAUUGCCCAAUAAAAUCCUCCGUGUAUACUACCCUUC